rnacentral:rRNA from 1 species
UACGUAGGGGCCGAGCGUUGUCCGGAAUUACUGGGCGUAAAGCGCGUGUAGGCGGCUUGGCAAGUCGGGUGUGAAAGCCCUGGGCUUAACCUAGGAAGUGCACUCGAAACUGCCGAGCUUGAGUUCUGGAGAGGAAGGCGGAAUUCUCGGUGUAGAGGUGAAAUUCGUAGAUAUCGAGAGGAACACCGGUGGCGAAGGCGGCCUUCUGGACAGCAACUGACGCUGAGACGCGAAAGCGUGGGGAGCAAACAGG